UAGUCCACGCCGUAAACAAUGGACACUUGGUGUUGGAGGUAUUGACCCCUUCAGUGCCGUAGCUAACGCGAUAAGUGACCCGCCUGGGGAGUACGGCCGCAAGGCUAAAACUCAAAGAAAUUGACGGGGGCCCGCACAAGCGGUGGAGCAUGUGGUUUAAUUCGAUGAAACGCGAAGAACCUUACCUGGGUUUGAAAUAUACUGGAAUAAGUUAGAGAUAGCUUAGCUCUUCGGAGCUGGUAUACAGGUGCUGCAUGGCUGUCGUCAGCUCGUGUCGUGAGAUGUUGGGUUAAGUCCCGCAACGAGCGCAACCCUUAUCGUUAGUUGCCACCAUUUAGUUGGGCACUCUAGCGAGACUGCCGGUGUCAAACCGGNGGAAGGUGGGGACGACGUCAAGUCAUCAUGGCCCUUAUGUCCAGGGCUACACACGUGCUACAAUGGCGAUGACAGUGAGCAGCUAACCCGCGAGGGCAAGCUAAUCUCUAAAAGUCGUCUCAGUUCGGAUUGUCUU
rnacentral:rRNA from 1 species